AGCAAAAUUUUUCAUAUGGUGGACCUACCCAGAUAUGGGAGACUUUUAGCACGUGGUUAAUUGUGGAGUUUGAUAGAUGAUACACAUAAAUUUAUAAAUUGGGUAUAUGCAUGCAAAUUAAUCCGAGUUGUGCGAUGCAUGCAAAUUAAUCCAAGGUGCAGGUUGUGGUUUAGACAUAUAAUGAACCAAACAGGUAGUAAAACCAGUCCACUGUGCACACAUUUUGUAUGAUAUUUCCUAAUGGGGAAUAUUUUACAAAUGGCACAGUAGACAAAUGUCCUUGAUAACAAAAACGUGGGCUUGCCUGUCCAAUUUCAGAUAGAUAGAAAAAAUAAAAA